rnacentral:rRNA from 1 species
GACGAACGCUGGCGGCGUGCUUAACACAUGCCAGUCGAACGAUGAAGCCCAGCUUGCUGGGUGGAUUAGUGGCGAACGGGUGAGUAAUACGUGAGUAACCUGCCUUUAACUCUGGGAUAAGCCUUGGAAACGGGGUCUAAUACCGGAUACGACCAACCCUCGCAUGGGGUGUUGGUGGAAAGGGAUUUUGUACUGGUUUUAGAUGGGCUCACGGCCUAUCAGCUUGUUGGUGAGGUAACGGCUCACCAAGGCGACGACGGGUAGCCGGCCUGAGAGGGUGACCGGCCACACUGGGACUGAGACACGGCCCAGACUCCUACGGGAGGCAGCAGUGGGGAAUAUUGCACAAUGGGCGCAAGCCUGAUGCAGCGACGCCGCGUGAGGGAUGACGACCUUCGGGUUGUAAACCUCUUUCAGCAGGGGAGAAGCGAAAGUGACGGUACCUGCAGAAGAAGCGCCGGCUAACUACGUG